CAGAUGGCGCGAAGUCUGCAGCUCCAGCGAUGUUCACAUGGUGCUAAAAUCCUCCUCUCUCACAUUCCAACAAAUCCAAGCAAGAGGCUCACAAGUGCGCCUCCAUCACCAAUUCGCUCGGUCUGUAGGGCCCCUGGCACUUUCCACUCAUCUAUGACCAACUAGGGGAAGAAAAACUGCUGUCAUCACUCCAUAAUGUAUCUACACAUAUAAAUCCUUUUUUUUUCCUCCUCUCUCUUUUUUUUUUGGUGUGUCUGGAUCCAUUUACAGGUUUAUUAGCCCACGGGGGUAAGGGGUUUCAGAGAUUGAUAGACAGGGAGGGGACGAUUGUCGAAAAAAAAAGCCCCCCGAAAGAAUGGGGAAAAGGACCCAGGGUGGCGCCGGAGUGUAAAAUCUCGUUGAGUAAACACAGGGCCAAGGCAUGACUGAGAAGGCCGCCGAUUCCGUUCGUGUCGGAGGAGGAGAAACAUAAGGAGCUUUCAAUUAGUUUCGCUCCCAAUGGCAUCCGCCGCUGCUCCUGACGAGCGGCUCCCGGCUCCGCGAGCGCCCGCUCUGUUGUGCGUGCGCGUCUCUGUUUAUACAACACAAAGUUAUCUCAUGACAAAUUAAAGAAGUGCAAAGAUGAAAUUUUUGGACGUUCAUCCGUGUUUGCGGAGACCUCUUAGUGGCGCGGGGAUUUUUUUUUUCUUUCUUUCUUCUUCUUCUUCUUCUUUUCCCCCCCCUCUCUGCUGUGAAAACAGACGCGCGCAACAUUGGAGAUGGCUCCUGACUGCUUGACCUGGCAUUGGCUGGUGUGAAACGCGUUGGAGCCCGGCAGAGUUGGGAGAGUUUAGUGUUGUGAGCACCUGCGUGGAUGGUGAUAGUGGGCUCGUGCGACGUCGCUGAGGCGCAGAAUACCACGGUGGUGACAUUCCCUCUCCCUCGCCAAACUCCGUUACCAAGUUCUGUCACAUGACAGGACAAAAGUGAAGGGGAGUUUAAAGAAGAAGAAGAAGAAUGAAGUGAAACGUUCACGUGCAGGAGGAGGAGAGGGCCUGGCACACGUGGCGAUGGGGCUCAUUGAAUGCAGGGGUUAAACUCCGCUAAUGGGCCAGAGACAACAUGGAUCGUUCAGGCCCAACUCGGGGACGUCAUUUUAAGAACGUGAGGAUACCGGUAGAUUCUGAGAUUGGAGCCAAGUAGGCGAGAAGCUAAACAGAGGAGUAGCCUACUGCAGCUGGAAAAAUAUUGAGGGACAUCCAGGGGUUCUCAAACUUGCUGGCAUACAAGUCCCUUAAUGCGUUGAUAAACUUUGUUGAUAAACACACCACUUAGCUUAAGCAUUAACCCACCUCAAGCCCUCGAACAUAAAAUUUGCACUAUACCACCCAGCUCUGAUCCUAAUCUCGUGUGCGCCCCCGCUCCCCCCACCACGCACACACAUACACGCACUGUGCCCCACGUCUACACUAUCUUUAUCUCUCUAUUUUUACAGGGUUCAAGAAUGAUGGUGUCCACCAAAUGACUCUGCCAAUGUAGAUACGGAAAACCCCGGUUCUUGAAGACCUCAGGCUUUUGUGGUAUUGUACAGCUUCCCCGCUGGCUAAACAUAAGCAAGCAGAUCACAAGUGUUUAAGGGUAUUUUUUAUUACCUAUUACCUAGCAUCUAAAUUCACAAAUUUAAAGAAAAGAUCUGUGUAUGUUACAUUAGCUGUUUGCUUAAGUAUUGCGAUGCAAUUCUUUAUUUGAUAUAACUUAUGGAUUAUGUCAUUGCUCUGGACAGUAUUCAAAUAAAAUUUCAAAGAUUC